GAUGAACGCUAGCGGCAGGCUUAACACAUGCAAGUCGAGGGGCAGCAUAGAUUGUAGCAAUACAAUUGGUGGCGACUGGCGCACGGGUGCGUAACGCGUAUGCAACCUACCCGUCACAGGGGGAUAAUCCGGAGAAAUCUGGUCUAAUACCCCAUAACAUAUGGAUCGGCAUCGGUUCAUGUUGAAAUUUUCGGAGGUGACGGAUGGGCAUGCGUAGCAUUAGCUUGUUGGUGAGGUAACGGCUCACCAAGGCGACGAUGCUUAGGGGGACUGAGAGGUUUUCCCCCCACACGGGUACUGAUACACGGACCAGACUCCUACGGGAGGCAGCAGUGAGGAAUAUUGGUCAAUGGGCGCAAGCCUGAACCAGCCAUGCCGCGUGCAGGAUGACGGCUCUAUGAGUUGUAAACUGCUUUUGUACGAGGGUAAAGUGGGUUACGUGUAACCUUUUGAAAGUAUCGUACGAAUAAGGAUCGGCUAACUCCGUGCCAGCCGCCGCAGUAA
rnacentral:rRNA from 1 species